rnacentral:rRNA from 1 species
AUGGAGCGACGGACAGCGGCAAGACCUACACCAUGCAGUUGCUUCAAGUUAAAAGCGCAUGAAGGGCAGGAGAGCGGGAAGGGGAGGACCAGGCAUGAAGGGCGGGGCCAAGGUGGUUGUCAUGCCACACAAGCACGACAUCGUCUUCAUCGCCAAGGCCAAGGAGGACGCACUCUGCACCAAGAACAUGGUCGCCGGCGAGUCUGUCUACAGCGAGAAGAGCUACCUUGCCUGGCGCUGGUACUAUUAUCCUAUACUAUUUUACUAUCUGUAUGCUCUUCACUGCCCCUGGAAGUACCUCCAUGCAAAAUAAGGUUGAACGGAGGAGAGUUUGUGACUGCUAUAGAAGGAUUGAAGGAGGUCCAUGUUGAAGAAGAUCGACAGAAGCAAUAG